GUGGAGGUUUAGCUCAGUGGUUACUUCUUAACUUCAUCCAGUUUCUCUAACCUCACGGGUUCGCGCCCCGAGGAUCUACCACGGGCGCUGUCCUCUGCUUUU
ensembl:vault_RNA Vault Vault RNA